GACGAACGCUGGCGGCGUGCCUAAUACAUGCAAGUAGAACGCUGAAGGAGGAUCUUGCUUCUCUGGAUGAGUUGCGAAGGGGUGAGUAACGCGUAGGUAACCUGCCUGGUAGCGGGGGGUAACUAUUGGAAACGAUAGCUAAUACCGCAUAAUAUUGACUAUUGCAUGAUAGUCAGUUGAAAGGUGCAACUGUACCACUACCAGAUGGACCUGCGUUGUAUUAGCUAGUUGGUGGGGUAACGGCUCACCAAGGCGACGAAACAUAGCCGACCUGCGAGGGUGCUCGGCCACACUGGGAUUGAGAGAUGGCCCACCAUCCUACGAGAGGGAGCCGGAGGGAAUCUUUGGCGAUGGAAGGAAGUCUGAACAAGGAACGCCGCGCGAGUGCAGAAGGUUGUAGGACCGCGAAGCUCUGUUGUAAGUGAAGAACGAGUGUGAGAGUGGAACGCUAACACUGUGACGGUAUCUUAACAGAAAGCGACGGCUAACUCCGUG
rnacentral:rRNA from 1 species